GCAGGGAACACUGACACUGGAGCGCGCAUGCACGAGAGGACUCCAUGUUUUUCUUUCUCUCUUUGAACGAAUACAACAUCGCCGGUUGGAAUAUUAUCGCUAUUUUACGAGAAAUAUCGCAUAAAAAUGUAUUUUAAACAGCGUUUGACAUGCUUCGAAGUACGGUAAUGGAAUAUUUUGACAUUUUUUGUCACGAAAAUCGCCCGCGCGUCACCCUUCGGAUACUGACCUCAAUGCACGAACAAAACGGAGCUAUUUGGAUAAAACUAUGGAUUAUUUUGAACCAAAACAACAUUUGUUGUUGAAGUAGAAGCCCUGGGAGUGCAUUCUGACGAAGAACAGCAAAGCUAUGGAACCCUGACCUGUUCACCGGACGUGCUAUCUGUCCCAGACCUGCUGUCCCAGACCUGCUGGAACCCUGACCUAUUCACCGGACGUGCUACCUGUCCCAGACCUGCUGGUUUCAACUCUCUAGAGACAGCAGGAGCGAAGGGAUCAUGAUGGCUCCUGAAGCUCUCCUCAGCACGACUUGAAUUCCUGAUCUUCCUACUUAAGCCUGACGAGCCAGCUGAGGCAUCACCGGUUGCUUUGGCAGCGGCACUUGGACCCGACGUCACCAAUAAAAAAGAAAAGAAAUCCCUGUUGCUGCCCCUUGGUGAGGCUAAGAAUCGGGAAGCAAGUUCAGGGAGUGAAUUUAAUAAAUACCAGAACAUUGAACAAAACAAGAAACACGAGUAGCGUACAGACAUGAAACACAGAAACAGAAUCAAUAAUGGCUGAGGAAAGAAUCAAGGGGAGUGACAGAUACAGGGGAGAUAAUCAGGAAGGUGAUGGAGUCCAGGUGAGUGUCAUGAGGCACAGGUGCAUGUAAUGAUAGUGCCAGGUGUGCGUAAUAAUGAGACAACUGUCGACGUUGAGCGCUGGAGAGGGGGAACGGGAGUAAACAUGAUAGCUUUUCAAGUCACGAAGCGG
rnacentral:lncRNA from 1 species